GCUCUCACAGUUUUCUGCCAAUAAUUGUCUGUUAGUAUUCAGUUCCACAUAUCGUUUCUCUGUGGAUCGGAUAUUUGAUUUGUGCUUACUAAAGCACGGUUCGCAUCCACAAAAUCAUGGGUUUUUUCGACCUACAGGACUGCACCGCUGUGAUGCCAUUUGCCCUGUGGUUACAAGAAAAAUUCGACUUACGGAAAUCCCGAUGGAAAUACCUACGCUAUCGUUUUGCGAUAUCCUGCAUGUGCAUCGUAGUCAUAGUACCGAAAAUAUUCCUGGGCUAUCGUGACGACAUUCGGCUGGUUCUUCGGGGCAUCUCGGAGCUCAUUUUCCAGGCCAACAUUGCACUCAAGGUGGUGAUCUUCGUGUGGAAUCAGGACCAUUUCGAACAGAUGUUGGCUUUACUGCGUAAAUGGUUUGAAAAAAGUGAGCUUAGUAAUAUAGUGACGACUUAUCAGUCGACUUCGGCAUGCUUCUGCUAGUGUUCCUUCGUUUGUAUGUUUAAAAUAAUUUAAACUUCUAGUUUUUAUUCACAAAUUUAUUAUGGAUAGCUUGUAGUUAAACAAUUGAAUUUUGAUACAUUUGUAGCUUUUUCAAACGGUUAUGAUAGUGAACCAAACAAGGCACUUCUCCGAUGUAAUCGUGUGAAUGACUUAUUUGCCAAAAUAUACUUCACAUACCUGGCAGUAGUUGUCAAUAUCUUCAA